GUGGAUGCAGCUCAGUGGUAGAGUACUUGCCUAGCAUGUGUGAGGCCCUGGGUUCCAGCCCCAGCAACACACA
rnacentral:tRNA from 1 species